CAGCAGCGUUUGGUGGCUGGAGUUUGUCCUUGGUGAGCCAGGACCUGGAGGGAUGGAGAUGUGGGAAUGAGCCCCCACCAUCCUGCCCCUGCUGCCCUGUCUAUGCCUGUGAAGCCAAGAGGAUUCCUGCUGUUGGCACAGCUGGGUGCAGCCUUUGAAAGCAGGUUUUGCGAUGGGAAGGGAGAAAUCAGCCCUGCCAUUCCACAUUUCUGUCCUGUGUGCUGGGAGAGUUGGAGCCCAAGGGGACACCUCUGGCCCUGGGACCACAUCUGAGCCUGCAGCUUGGGAAGCAGCCUGGGGCUGUGUCCAGAG
rnacentral:lncRNA from 1 species